rnacentral:lncRNA from 1 species
GAACAGAUGGGUGAGGGCACAUGCAACCCAUGAUCCUCUCUCUGUCCCCAAAACAUGUGAACCAGAGAGUAACUAGUCUCCUUCAGGGCUUCUGGGGAUUUCCUACCUGCUGGUGUAUACCUGCCAUCCCUGUGUCCCUGAGCCUACUCUGACCAUGGAGCAGAAAGUCCUGGGCCCUGGAUGAGGAUGGCCAGGGACAGAGCAUGGCGAACCAAGGCUCCAAAGAAGCCCAAGGCAGCGAGCACAGCCAGAAUCUCUGUCCUGUGGGAGGCGGAAAGAGUGCCCUGUUGGUCCCUCUGACUCUCCUCUCUCUCCUCAUCCUCCUCCCCAUCGCCUCAAUAAAGAGCUUCAGCAGGC